rnacentral:miRNA from 2 species
CGUGAGGCCCUUUCUUGUGCAUG